rnacentral:tRNA from 1 species
GGAGAGUUGGCAGAGUGGUCGAAUGCGCCGGUUUCGAAAACCGGUGGCUGUAACAGGUCCGAGGGUUCGAAUCCCUCACUCUCCGCCA